GUGUGAUCAUUCCUUCAUCACUCAAUCUAUCUCCCAAGUCAGUGAUUUAAACCCUUAUAUAUAGGCUUCCAUGGUGGCACAGUGGUUAUAAAUCCGCCUGCAGAUGCAGGGGACACGGGUUCGAACCCUGAUCCAUGAAGAUCCCACAUGCUGCGGAGCAACUAAAUCCGUGCGCCACAACGACUGCGCUUGCGCUCUACAGCCCGUGAGCCACGACUACUGACUGCCCCCGCCCCCCCGCCAAAGAAAGAAAGAGUACUAGUCAGUUCCAUUUCUUAAGCUGGUAGGUUGAACAGAAAUUUAUUUAUUUCCUUUAAGAAGCAAAGUUCUUCCUCCUCCCCUUCCACCUCCCGGGCUACGGCGGGCGAAGGGCUGAGGGCUGCUGUAUUUUGUCCCACGAGGCGACCCCUUCUCCCGCGGAGGUUGCGCGCGGCGGCGGCGGCCGCCAUAGCGGUGGUGGCGACGGGGACAGUGGAGCGCUGACCGCAGGCCUGGCCGCCCACCUGCCCCACCCUGUCGCCGGGGGCGGGGAAGAAGCACACACCUUUAUAAACGCAUUUUUGGAUAUGGAAGACCAGUAUAUCCAACUGGGCACAGAUGGAAAAAUAUCCCUAUCCCAGCUUCACAAUGAAACCACUUUUUGUGCUUGACACCUGCAGCAGCUGAUAGGUGAAUGUGGCUGAUCAGUCAGCUAAGCAACUUUUCAAAUAUGAGCAGCCAAAGCUCUGGAAAUAGCAUCAGGCACUUGAUAAUGUGUCAGGAGUUCUUGUACCACAGGCAGUGGGUGGAAGUUUGCAGCCAGACAACUAGAGUUUGUGUUCUGCUUUUGCCACUUGAAAGAUACGUGAGAAUGAGUAUACAGACCUGAGUCUGUAUUCUCAGUGGUAAAAAUUUGUAAAAUAGCUCAUAGUUUUAAUCCUGGCUGCUCGUUAGAAGUUUUUUUAAAAACCGCCAAUACGAUGAAUGGUUUCAUCUGCCCUGGACCAAUGACCAGUUUGGGGAGAAGAGGAGAGUCCUGGGUAUUGGCAUUUUUGGAAAGCUCAAUAAAUUUUAUAAAGUGGAUCAGAA